AUAAGAAAGGCGCGAUUUUUUCGAACCAGGCGCGACCUGACACCUCUGUUAAGGGGAAACUGCAGCCUACACUAAUGCACCGUACCCGAAUAUAUGACUCUUUUGUUUGGAGAUUGUGAGACUUUUUACUGCUGGGGUUCCUGAC